GAUGAAGAACGCAGCGAAAUGCGAUACGUAAUGUGAAUUGCAGAAUUCAGUGAAUCAUCGAAUCUUUGAACGCAUAUUGCGCUCUUUGGUAUUCCGAAGAGCAUGCUUGUUUGAGUAUCAGUAAACACCUCAAAGACUUCAAUUUGUUUUGAAUGGCUUUGGACUUGAGCAAUCCCAACACCAGUCUUUACGAUCGGUGGAGGGUUGCUUGAAAUGCAGGUGCAGCUGGACAUUCUCCUGAGCUAAAAGCAUAUUUAGUUAGUCCCGUCAAACGGAUUAUUACUUUUGCUGCAGCUAACAUAAAGGGAGUUUGACCGUAUUGGCUGACUGAUGCAGGAUUUCACAAGGGUCGGCAACGAUUCUUGUAAAACUCGAUCUCAAAUCAAGUAAGACUACCCGCUGAACUUAAGCAUAUCAAUAAGCGGAGGA
rnacentral:misc_RNA from 1 species